rnacentral:rRNA from 1 species
CCUACGGGUGGCAGCAGUGGGGGAUAUUGCACAAUGGGGGGAACACUGAUGCAGCGACGCCGCGUGGGUGAAGGAGCGUUUCGGCGCGUAAAGCCCUAUCGGCAGGGAAGAAGGAGGACGGUACCUGCCUAAGAAGCCCCGGCUAACUACGUGCCAGCAGCCGCGGUAAUAAGUAGGGGGCAAGCGUUAUCCGGAUUUACUGGGUGUAAAGGGGGCGCAGACGGCAGCGCAAGCCAGGAGUGAAAGCCCGGGGCCCAACCCCGGGACGGCUCUUGGAACUGCGCGGCUUGAGUGCAGGAGGGGCAGGCGGAAUUCCUGGUGUAGCGGUGAAAUGCGUAGAUAUCAGGAGGAACACCGGUGGCGAAGGCGGCCUGCUGGACUGCGACUGACGUUGAGGCCCGAAAGCGUGGGGAGCAAACAGGAUUAGAUACCCUAGUAGUC